UACGUAGGGUGCGAGCGUUAAUCGGAAUUACUGGGCGUAAAGCGUGCGCAGGCGGUUUUGUAAGUCUGUCGUGAAAGCCCCGGGCUCAACCUGGGAAUUGCGAUGGAGACUGCAAGGCUAGAAUCUGGCAGAGGGGGUAGAAUUCCACGUGUAGCAGUGAAAUGCGUAGAGAUGUGGAGGAACACCGAUGGCGAAGGCAGCCCCCUGGGUCAAGAUUGACGCUCAUGCA
rnacentral:rRNA from 1 species